rnacentral:rRNA from 1 species
CGGACGGGUGAGUAAUGUCUGGGAAACUGCCUGAUGGAGGGGGAUAACUACUGGAAACGGUAGCUAAUACCGCAUAACGUCGCAAGACCAAAGUGGGGGACCUUCGGGCCUCUUGCCAUCGGAUGUGCCCAGAUGGGAUUAGCUAGUAGGUGGGGUAAAGGCUCACCUAGGCGACGAUCCCUAGCUGGUCUGAGAGGAUGACCAGCCACACUGGAACUGAGACACGGUCCAG